rnacentral:misc_RNA from 1 species
GAUGAAGAACGCAGCGAAAUGCGAUAAGUGAUGUGAAUUGCAGAAUUCAGUGAAUCAUCGAAUCUUUGAACGCACAUUGCGCCCGGCAGUACUCUGCCGGGCAUGCCUGUUCGAGCGUCAUUUCAACCCUCAAGCCCUGCUUGGUGUUGGGGCCCCACGGCUGCCGUGGGCCCUGAAAGGAAGUGGCGGGCUCGCUACAACUCCGAGCGUAGUAAUUCAUUAUCUCGCUUAGGGCGUUGGGCGGCGCUCCAGCCGUUAAAGAACCAUCUUUAACUCAAGGUUGACCUCGGAUCAGGUAGGAAUACCCGCUGAACUUAAGCAUAUCAAUAAGCGGAGGA